GAGGAAGCUCCCGUUGGCAUGGCCAGAGCCAUCACAGCCUGGGGUGGGGCAAGUUGGCCCCUCGUUCUUCAGCGCCUUCCAGGAGAAGGACGAGCCGUUGAGGGAGCCCUCUUUCUGCCUCCGGGCGGCCAGAGGGCAGCCAGAUGCACUUCUGUGAGAGGCAUAUUUGCCACUGAUGUGGCCAAGCCCCACACAGCCUGGAACCGGGCACCUGGACAUAAAAAGGCUGAGGUGACCACAGAGGCACUGGUGUCGGGGGAACUUGGAGACCCACCAGCUCCUAAGUGAGGCAGGAGGACAGCAGAGUCCUGGAGCCUAGAGAAGAGCCUGGCCUUCCAGGUAAGAAUCGAAGGCCACAUGGCCUGCCUUCCCUCUCUCUCUCGGCCUCAGAGCCCCUGCUUGGCUGCAAAUCAGGAGGACAGCCAGGGGUAGCAGGGGCCUGCCAUCACUGAGGCCAGGCAUGGCAUCCAUGGUUGUCCCGGAAACACAAGCUCAGAUAUCCCAUAAUCGUCUUGCCUGUGGCUGCCCAAGAGUGGCUUUUCCUUUGCUCCAGAUGUUCAAGGAGAGGAGCAGAACCCUUUACGUAAAUUACAUAAGUACAGAAUGAAAAAUGCCCCAGGCACAACAUGUGGGACCCUGUCUGAGUGUCUGUCCUCACACCUCAGGGAGGGAUGUGGACCAGGGAGAUUUAGGGGCCCAGUCACCCAGAAACCAACACCCGACCCAGACCAGAUUCUCAACCUGACAGUUCUCUGUUUUCUCCCACCAACAAAGUUCAUCCUGAUGGUCUGUCACACACUCACAGUGUGUGAGAAUGCCUGAAAAGGGGUACAGGACCCAAGAGGCAUCACUGCCCUGUUUUAUAGUGGUCUUGGGGCACAGAGAAGUCAGGAGGCAGGACACCCUCAGGAGGACAGAGGGCUAUCAGCAGAGGCUCCUGUUGUGGGAGCGGGGAGGGCACUGCACAGGGCAACAUUGCCCAGUAGGAGCUCACUGCCUCCCAGUGCUAGUAGGGAGGGCAGUUCCAGGGCCUUGUCCCACACUUGUGGCCUCAUCUCAAAGGCCACCCAUGCAGACAACUUCCCAGCCAUCUUUUCUAGGGUUCUUCUUCCUCUUCUGUCCACAUUGCCCGUCUCUUGCCUCUCCUCCCCUUCUCACUCAUCUGGCCGCCCAGCGUAAGACAAUGUAGGAUGUCCACUGGGCCGGUGAAAGGACAUCUCAGCUUCUAGUCUAGAGCAGGGACUCCGCCCAGGGCUCCCAGGAGGGCUUUGGUGGGGGUUCACAUUUAAUGUUCAGCCCCUCGAACCUGGAUGCCUCCCAGCCAUAGGGCCUGAGGAUGCCUGGCCUGGCAUGGCCAAGACUGAGGUUGAGGGCUUG
rnacentral:lncRNA from 1 species